AAGAUAUAAUCGGGAGAGACUGUGUAAAAAUGCAGCGCCGAAGGUGACAGCGAAAACUCUCAGGCAAAAGGACCGGUUAUGGACG
rfam:[Eubacterium] eligens ATCC 27750 chromosome, complete genome.